UAAGGCAUGUCGAGAUAUCAACAGAACAGCGGGGUUAAACAUAGAUAUCCCUAAUCUGCGGCCCCCACACAAACCGUUUGCAGACAGAAUGUCACGACAACCCCAUCCUGUUGUUUGAAUUCACAGCAUGUGUUCUCUAAACCAGGCAUACAUCUCUCAAAAAAAACUCAUUCCGAACUUUUAGAUAGUUAGGGACAGAACUAUUUUUUAACGUUGUCAGUAUUGCUUUAGCGCAAACAUAAAGGCCCAGAAUAUUGAGCUGCACGGACAUAUUAAAAUAAUAAUAAUAAUAAUAAUAUUCGGAAUAAGGGAAUCUCGCAUAAUGGAUAUUUCUGGCGGAUCCCCGACAUUUAUGCAGAUUUUACGAGAGUUGCCGGAUCUGGAACAUGAUGGGGGUUCGCAGGAGCAAAAUUCUGGCAGACAAUCACCAACGGCCUUUUUUCGUUCCGACAUACAGCCCGUUGUGAUAAAGGAUGUGUUAUGGACAUCUGACACGCAGGACUUUGAUGCAAUUCUACCGUUCUGUACGAGCGCUUUUUCAAACUCACCGCAAAUCCAGGGAACAUUGACCCCCUCCAGACAUACUCAAGACCCCAACAACCAACUAGUAACGUUGACCCAAGUACACUGCUCAGAAUCAA